AGAGUUUGAUCAUGGCUCAGGACGAACGCUGGCGGCGUGCCUAAAACAUGCAAGUCGAACGGUGAUAGCAAUAUCACAGUGGCGAACAGCGGAGUAAUACGUGAACAACGUGCCCCAAAGACUGGGAUAGUCACUGGAAACGGUGGGUAAUACCGGAUGUGGCGAUUUUCACUCAUGUGGAGAUUGUUAAAUGGUUUUUCGCUUUGGGAGCGGUUCACGGCCUAUCAGGUAGUUGGCGGGGUAACGGCCCACCAAGCCUACGACGGGUAGCGGGUCUGAGAGGAUGGUCCGCUCGAGUGGGACUGAGACACGGCCCACACACCUACGGGUGGCAGCAGUUGGGAAUCUUGCACAAUGGGGGAAACCCUGAUGCAGCGACGCCGCGUGGAGGAUGAAGGGUCUAGGCCUGUAAACUCCUUUUCUCGGGAAAGACUUAGGACGGUACCUGAGGAAUAAGGACCGGCUAACUACGUGCCAGCAGCCGCGGUAAGACGUAGGGUCCAAGCGUUGUCCGGAUUUACUGGGCGUAAAGCGCGCGUAGGCGGUCUGUUAAGUGCACAAGUGAAAGCUCCGGGCUCAACUCGGAAAUUGCUUUGCAUACUGGCAGGCUGGAGGGACGCAGAGGUCUGUGGAAUUCCUGGUGUAACGGUGAAAUGUGUUGAUAUCAGGAGGAACACCCAUGGCGAAGGCAGCAGACUGGGCGUUUCCUGACGCUGAGGCGCGAAAGCGUGGGUAGCAAACAGGAUUAGAUACCCUAGUAGUCC
rnacentral:rRNA from 1 species